CGGGGGAGCGAGCGUUGUUCGGAUUUACUGGGCGUAAAGGGCGCGUAGGCGGUCAGCACAAGUCAGUUGUGAAAUCUCCGGGCUUAACUCGGAACGGUCAACUGAUACUGUGCGACUAGAGUGCAGAAGGGGCAACUGGAAUUCUCGGUGUAGCGGUGAAAUGCGUAGAUAUCGAGAGGAACACCUGCGGCGAAGGCGGGUUGCUGGGCUGACACUGACGCUGAGGCGCGAAAGCCAGGGGAGCGAACGGGAUUAGAUACCCCGGUAGUCCUGGCCUUAAGCGAUGGAUGCUUGGUGUCUGGAGUUAUAUAGUCUCCGGGUGCCGCAGCUAACGCGUUAAGCAUCCCGCCUGGGGAGUACGGUCGCAAGACUG
rnacentral:rRNA from 1 species